UGUUGCAGAAUUGUGCAGUUUCGGGCAGCACUUUGUGAACAAAACUGGGAACAAUCUAGCCACUCAAAAUGAGUAAAAUUAUUUUUCUAUGAAACCUUGAGAUGUCUAGAUUGUUCUCCUAAAAUUUCAGAAUUUUCCGAUGUGUGGUUUGGGAGAUAUGAUUUUUAGAAAAUGGUCAUUUUCUGCAGAAAGAAUGCUGUCUGAAUUUUGGAACAGCAACUUCAAAACCACAUAUCUCAAUACUCUAAAACUCUUUGGAGGUGAAACCAAAAAGAGGUGAAAUAUUAGGAUGUCUAGUAUUUUAUGUCCAAAUUUUAGGACAAUUCAAAUUUUGUAGAGAAAGUUGUGCCUUCUGGAAGCAGGGCUGUUCACUGCUGUGACAGCUCCCUUUUCUUAAAACAAAACCAUAUUUCGAGAGGCAUAACUUUUUCUAGAGAAGUGAAAAUGCUCUGGGAUUUGAACUGGGUGAAAUAUGUGUAAGUCUAGUUCAACCACACCAAAAUUUAGGAGAAUCCAACCAAAGAUGAAUUUUAUAUGAUUUUUCUAAAUUUGUUACUGCUUGCUGUUUUUCUAAAGUGUACUAAAUCAGUAGCCGAAUGAAGAGAAGGCUGAAUGGAUUAUAUAUGUCACAGAUGUUGGGCAGCAGCAACACUUUGAUAUGGUAUUCAAGAUUCUUGCCAAGUGCGAAGUUCCUUAGCCCUGGUGUCAGCGU